AGCGUACACGGUGGAUGCCCUGGCAGUCAGAGGCGAUGAAGGACGUGCUAAUCUGCGAUAAGCGUCGGUAAGGUGAUAUGAACCGUUAUAACCGGCGAUUUCCGAAUGGGGAAACCCAGUGUGUUUCGAYACACUAUCAUUAACUGAAUCCAUAGGUUAAUGAGGCGAACCGGGGGAACUGAAACAUCUAAGUACCCCGAGGAAAAGAAAUCAACCGAGAUUCCCCCAGUAGCGGCGAGCGAACGGGGAGSAGCCCAGAGCCUGAAUCAGUGUGUGUGUUAGUGGAAGCGUCUGGAAAGGCGCGCGAUACAGGGUGACAGCCCCGUACACAAAAAURCACAUAYUGUGAGCUCGAUGAGUAGGGCGGGACACGUGGUAUCCUGUCUGAAUAUGGGGGGACCAUCCUCCAAGGCUAAAUACUCCUGACUGACCGAUAGUGAACCAGUACCGUGAGGGAAAGGCGAAAAGAACCCCGGCGAGGGGAGUGAAAAAGAACCUGAAACCGUGUACGUACAAGCAGUGGGAGCACGCUUAGGCGUGUGACUGCGUACCUUUUGUAUAAUGGGUCAGCGACUUAUAUUCUGUAGCAAGGUUAACCGAAUAGGGGAGCCGAAGGGAAACCGAGUCUUAACUGGGCGUUAAGUUGCAGGGUAUAGACCCGAAACCCGGUGAUCUAGCCAUGGGCAGGUUGAAGGUUGGGUAACACUAACUGGAGGACCGAACCGACUAAUGUUGAAAAAUUAGCGGAUGACUUGUGGCUGGGGGUGAAAGGCCAAUCAAACCGGGAGAUAGCUGGUUCUCCCCGAAAGCUAUUUAGGUAGCGCCUCGUGAAUUCAUCUCCGGGGGUAGAGCACUGUUUCGGCAAGGGGGUCAUCCCGACUUACCAACCCGAUGCAAACUGCGAAUACCGGAGAAUGUUAUCACGGGAGACACACGGCGGGUGCUAACGUCCGUCGUGAAGAGGGAAACAACCCAGACCGCCAGCUAAGGUCCCAAAGUCAUGGUUAAGUGGGAAACGAUGUGGGAAGGCCCAGACAGCCAGGAUGUUGGCUUAGAAGCAGCCAUCAUUUAAAGAAAGCGUAAUAGCUCACUGGUCGAGUCGGCCUGCGCGGAAGAUGUAACGGGGCUAAACCAUGCACCGAAGCUGCGGCAGCGACGCUUAUGCGUUGUUGGGUAGGGGAGCGUUCUGUAAGCCUGCGAAGGUGUGCUGUGAGGCAUGCUGGAGGUAUCAGAAGUGCGAAUGCUGACAUAAGUAACGAUAAAGCGGGUGAAAAGCCCGCUCGCCGGAAGACCAAGGGUUCCUGUCCAACGUUAAUCGGGGCAGGGUGAGUCGACCCCUAAGGCGAGGCCGAAAGGCGUAGUCGAUGGGAAACAGGUUAAUAUUCCUGUACUUGGUGUUACUGCGAAGGGGGGACGGAGAAGGCUAUGUUGGCCGGGCGACGGUUGUCCCGGUUUAAGCGUGUAGGCUGGUUUUCCAGGCAAAUCCGGAAAAUCAAGGCUGAGGCGUGAUGACGAGGCACUACGGUGCUGAAGCAACAAAUGCCCUGCUUCCAGGAAAAGCCUCUAAGCAUCAGGUAACAUCAAAUCGUACCCCAAACCGACACAGGUGGUCAGGUAGAGAAUACCAAGGCGCUUGAGAGAACUCGGGUGAAGGAACUAGGCAAAAUGGUGCCGUAACUUCGGGAGAAGGCACGCUGAUAUGUAGGUGAGGUCCCUCGCGGAUGGAGCUGAAAUCAGUCGAAGAUACCAGCUGGCUGCAACUGUUUAUUAAAAACACAGCACUGUGCAAACACGAAAGUGGACGUAUACGGUGUGACGCCUGCCCGGUGCCGGAAGGUUAAUUGAUGGGGUUAGCGCAAGCGAAGCUCUUGAUCGAAGCCCCGGUAAACGGCGGCCGUAACUAUAACGGUCCUAAGGUAGCGAAAUUCCUUGUCGGGUAAGUUCCGACCUGCACGAAUGGCGUAAUGAUGGCCAGGCUGUCUCCACCCGAGACUCAGUGAAAUUGAACUCGCUGUGAAGAUGCAGUGUACCCGCGGCAAGACGGAAAGACCCCGUGAACCUUUACUAUAGCUUGACACUGAACAUUGAGCCUUGAUGUGUAGGAUAGGUGGGAGGCUUWGAAGUGUGGACGCCAGUCUGCAUGGAGCCGACCUUGAAAUACCACCCUUUAAUGUUUGAUGUUCUAACGUUGACCCGUAAUCCGGGUUGCGGACAGUGUCUGGUGGGUAGUUUGACUGGGGCGGUCUCCUCCUAAAGAGUAACGGAGGAGCACGAAGGUUGGCUAAUCCUGGUCGGACAUCAGGAGGUUAGUGCAAUGGCAUAAGCCAGCUUGACUGCGAGCGUGACGGCGCGAGCAGGUGCGAAAGCAGGUCAUAGUGAUCCGGUGGUUCUGAAUGGAAGGGCCAUCGCUCAACGGAUAAAAGGUACUCCGGGGAUAACAGGCUGAUACCGCCCAAGAGUUCAUAUCGACGGCGGUGUUUGGCACCUCGAUGUCGGCUCAUCACAUCCUGGGGCUGAAGUAGGUCCCAAGGGUAUGGCUGUUCGCCAUUUAAAGUGGUACGCGAGCUGGGUUUAGAACGUCGUGAGACAGUUCGGUCCCUAUCUGCCGUGGGCGCUGGAGAACUGAGGGGGGCUGCUCCUAGUACGAGAGGACCGGAGUGGACGCAUCACUGGUGUUCGGGUUGUCAUGCCAAUGGCACUGCCCGGUAGCUAAAUGCGGAAGAGAUAAGUGCUGAAAGCAUCUAAGCACGAAACUUGCCCCGAGAUGAGUUCU
rnacentral:rRNA from 1 species